rnacentral:rRNA from 1 species
CCUACGGGUGGCAGCAGUGGGGAAUAUUGGACAAUGGGCGAAAGCCUGAUCCAGCCAUGCCGCGUGUGUGAAGAAGGCCUUCGGGUUGUAAAGCACUUUCAGUGGGGAAGAAAGCCUUGGGGCUAAUACCCUCGAGGAAGGACAUCACCCACAGAAGAAGCACCGGCUAACUCCGUGCCAGCAGCCGCGGUAAUACGGAGGGUGCGAGCGUGAAUCGGAAUUACUGGGCGUAAAGCGCGCGUAGGCGGUCUGAUAAGCCGGUUGUGAAAGCCCCGGGCUCAACCUGGGAACGGCAUCCGGAACUGUCAGGCUAGAGUGCAGGAGAGGAAGGUAGAAUUCCUGGUGUAGCGGUGAAAUGCGUAGAGAUCGGGAGGAAUACCAGUGGCGAAGGCGGCUUACUGGACUGACACUGACGCUGAGGUGCGAAAGCGUGGGUAGCAAACAGGAUUAGAUACCCUGGUAGUC